GAUCUUAGUUCCCUAACCAGGAACUGGGCCACAGCAGUGAAAGCACCAGGUCCUAACCACUGGCCCACCAGGAAACUCCCCCCAGAGGCUGAUCUUGAGCGCACCAUCCUCUGAGGACAAGGGCGCUUGAGCCACAUGCACCACAAGCCUGAGGAGCUGGAGGCCUUACCUCAGUGGAGCCGGUGAAUGCCACUUUGUCCACGUCCUCAUGGGAGGCGAUGGCAGCUCCGGCCGUGGGGCCAAAUCCAGGAAUAAUAUUGACCACACCUGGAGGAAAGCCAGCCUGUGAAAAAAACACCAGGGACACUGGAGUCAUUCUCCUGCUCCACGGAGUCCAGACAGAGGAAUACACAUCCCUUCCCAGAGAGGCUGAGGCAGUCGGCCCAGCACCCAGCUUUUUCGGUUUUGAAGAGCUGCCCAAGCAAUUCCAAGAAGAGUUGAUCACAUUUAUGUCAAGGAGCCAAGCGCUUUCUCUGAGGUGUGCAGAACCGGGAGGGAAGAGUCGGCAUGUUCAGAUUCAGUCCCUCACCACGACCUCAGGACCUGUCCUCUGUGAGGCUCCUGCCCCGCCAAGGCCUCCUGCCUCCUUCCCACCACAUCUGGGAGGUGGGCUGCUCCAUCUCUACGGGGGACUGGGAGACUUCUGCCAGGACUGUGCCCUGCUCUACCAGGGACUUCGCCUGUGGACACAGGAGACAGGACCGGAAGUGCAGGGCUGCGCCCUUCAGAGGAGUGUACCUCAAUUGAGAUGA
rnacentral:lncRNA from 1 species